AGACUAUAUAUCUAUGGUUUCCUGUGCCACGUAAAAUAUUCCACCAAAAAUUCUCUAUAUAGCUUGGAUAUAUUGAAGCAGGCCUUCAUAUCUCUACUAUAUGAAUGUACUUAUUAGUGCUAUUUGGAAUUACAUAUCUCUGCUAUAUGGAAGUACAUAUCUCUGUUGUAUAGGCCUAUAUAAGCAAUAAGCCUACAUAGG